CCCUUAGAUGUUCUGGGCCGCACACGCGCUACACUGAAGGAGGCAGCGUGUACUCCUGGAUCGAAAGAUUUGGGUAACCCGCGAAUCUCCUUCGUGCUAGGGAUUGAGGUUUGCAAUUAUCCUCCAUGAACGAGGAAUUCCCAGUAAGUGCAAGUCAUAAGCUUGCGCUGACUACGUCCCUGCCCUUUGUACACACCGCCCGUCGCUACUACCGAUUGAAUGAUUUAGUGAGGACUUCGGACUGGGACCGAUGCGGCUUUCGGGCUGCGUCGGUAUUCUGGAAAGAUGUCCAAACUGUAUCAUUUAGAGGAAGUAAAANUCGUAACA
rnacentral:rRNA from 1 species